GCCUUCGUGGUGUAUGGUCAGCACACUGAGCCGGUAUUUCAGAGGUCCGCGGUUCGAUCCCCGGCGAAGGCA
rfam:Stegodyphus mimosarum contig103912, whole genome shotgun sequence.